AUGAGGACGUGCUGCAACGGCGCUGGACGGGUCGUCAGCCGUUGUAGGGUUAGGUCUCCUACCUCGACCCUGCCAAGAUCGAGAAGGUGUGCGUUCGGCCCCCUCCACCUUUCUCUAUCACACAGCUUGAUUUGAUCUUCUAGGAUGAACCAUACGAUCUCCAAAAUUAGAUCGUAUACAUCUUCGGGGAUGAACCGUACGAUCUCCAAAAUUAGAUCGUUAUUCUCUCCCAAAGCAAUCCCUGGGCGCUUUUGCCCUAUCUAUCCAGACAUGCUCCAGGCGUGCAUUUAUUCGGGUAUAACACUUUUUUUGUUAGGUUGUUGCAAACAGACAUUUCCAACAGGAAAAACAUGUAUUCAUUGUUGUUUGUACCCUAAUUUGUAAUUUUACCUUCAUACACUAAAUGUAAGUUUUCUGGUGCAAAUAAGAUCAAGUUUGUCCUCGCCAAUAUGUUGUUUUUCAUGUCAAACUAAAGUUUGUCCUCGCCAAUAUGUUGUUUUUCAUGUCAAACUAAAGUUUGUCCUCGCCAAUAUGUUGUUUUUCAUGUCAAACUAAAGUUUGCCCUCGCCAAUAUGUUCGGUCAUAGUGUGUACUGUCUUUUUUUUUUCUCUGGGUAGUGGUUGUGUUGUUCUUCCCUGGACGGUCCUUGUACUAUGGUCUUGUUCUUCCUUUUUUUUCCCUCUUAAUACAUACAUGCAGUUCUCCUGCAUGUGGUUCGAAAAAAAAUAACAAUCCAGUUUUAGCCUAUAUUGUGAUGCCUAGAGAUAAUUCAGGUUGUUCAUGGUUAAGAGCGAUUCAUAUGCAGUGGAGAAAUUUGUGUUGUGUCAAGGUUGUGGACAGUUGAAAAAGAGGAUGGCAGUUCUUCUGUUUUUAGAACCUAAUCCUGAUGACGAAGAAUUAAGGUACAUCUUUCAUCCUUUGUCAACUGUACUAGCUCCAGUUUAAUAUGGUUUAUUGUGAACUAGAGGUCUCCCUAUCAGAUAAUUUGACUACACAAUUGGUACUGUAUGUUCGUUUUAGUUUCCUUUCCUUCCAUAGAAGUCCUUUCGCAUGUGAGUUGGAAGCGCAAAACAAUGGCAUAUAACUAAUGCAACGGUGGUGAGGAUGGAAGGAAAAGGUCAUGAUAUAUGUGCUUUAUGAUGUCAUAUACCUAAACCUCUAAGAACCUAUUACCUUUAGGAUGAAGCUUCGUGCUGAAAUGGUUAUUAUGCGCCCGUUGAAAAAAUUAUUACCAUUUCAAAGGGAGCUAAUGGGUUAUAGCAACCUCAAUAUCUUCUUAGAUGAAAGAACCUUUACAUUUUUGACAUUUUUCUGAUAUUAGGCGGUCCUCCUCAACUUCGCUUGCGAGCUGCUGCACCGCCUCCUCUCCUCCUGCAUGCCAAGGGCGAGGAGCUCCACCACCGACUACCAUCUAGAGAUGUCCGCGCUGCGUGAGGAACCGAAUGCUAAAGAGUAAGUAUGGAAGGAUGGUCAUAACUUCUACAUUAAGGGAAGAACGUCACAGAAAAACAAGUGAUUUGAGUUUGAUUGGCCAACAAAACAUCCAGGACUAAUGUUAUAGUUUGUUGCCAAGUACUUCUACUGAUGGUUUAAUUUUAUAUUUAGUAGGAGAUUUCAUAUAUAUAUUCUCUCCGCGUGCGCUGGUUGCCUACCGCACGUUCUGGUGGCGUGCCUCACGUCGGUUCACGUCGAAUCCACCGCCGCGAAGGCGCUGGAGGUGCGGCACAAGGCGGAUCAGAAGGUGCAGCUCGGCAAAGAUGUAAACUCAACACCAUUCCCCUAAUGUGCAACGGGUUUCCACCUGAAAAUAUGUCAUGCUUUGUAGCAUCCAUUAAUAUGUCUAGCUGUGUGUCUAUAACAAUGAUGUAGUCAAGUGCACAUUAGCUCCAUUGUCCUGACGUUCAAUCGUUUUGCAGCUACAACUUACAGGUUUCUCUUAGAAUUAGACCUUAUAUAGCUUAGGGUUAUAUUUCAAGCAGAAUUAAAUGAUGAAAAGUCUCUCAUCAGAGAACGGACUACUGGGAAUGUUCUUCGAAUUUCUUUCUCAUAUAGUAUCAGACAACAGCAUUCCCCUAGGAGUCUAGGACCCAACAGUUUCUCACCGGAGAAUACAUGGUUUUUAGUAGCUUUGUGUCUAUAACAAUGACAUAGUGAAAUCCACGCAGUUUAUAACUAGCCAAUCAGAAGGAACAUACACUUAAUUGGCUCUGUUGCAGUUACUUCUUAGAAUCAAGGCUCACUUAGAACUAUACCUUAUAACUUACAGAUGUCUUCGUGAGGUUUACAUCUUCUUUUCAGGCAGAAUGAAAUGUUGGGAAGUCUUUCAUUAGAGAACUGACCAAUGAGAAUGUUUUUUCUAAUUUCUGUAAUGUAUAAUAUCAAAGGAAUAUAGUUUUCAGCAUAGUGCCUACUAUUUUGUUUAGGACCAAAUAGAUGUUCUAUACAGUGUGACUCCUCAUUAUCUUUUUUGUGUUGGUGCUACAUAAAUUCCUGGUGUUGAAUUAUUUAUAUAUAUCUCUCUCCAUUGUGACCUCAAGCCUCAUGUUAUCUGACCAAGAUCUUGCACUUGUUUGGUUAAAUCUUAUCUUGAGGCUACAAUUACUGAAACUUGUGUCGUCUUGUUUCCUGAUCAAGAUUUUACAUUGAUUUAAUCAACUUUUACCUCUAGGCUAAGACCCUCAUGUCAAAUUGACAAAUAAUGUAGGGUACACUGGAUGCGGCAAGAUUUGCUUCUGCUUUUGUUCGGGGAGAUGAUGGUGUCCGUAAGAUAUUUACAGAGCUGGCCUACUGCUACAAGUAUGCCUUAUUAGCUAGCCAUGGACAGAGAUUGAGCUGGUGGAUGUACAAGAUUGUUACGAACUAGCAUACGGAUUGGUGAUGCCUCACCAAUGGCAUACAUUGAGCAAGUUCCUUUGUUCAUACUUCUUUACAUUUUCACAGAGUGGUUUGUCGACAGAGAGAAUGAGCUCAGAGGCCAAACCUGCAACACCACCGCCACCUCUGCAACACCACCACCACCUCUGCGGGUUCCAAUUGAUGCAUGGGCAAAGUCUCGGGCUAGCCAACAAUGUGCGGUACCUAAAAUUUGCUCAACUCUGAAAUCAGAAGCCUUAUGAGUGAAUUAUCUGUUCUGCGUUUUAUUUCUUGUGAAUGAGAAUACCCAUUUUGUCUUGUCAUGCUGGAGGAUUUCUAUCAGAAUAUAAAUUGUCAAUAGAAUAAUUCAACUUAGUUGCUGAUGUUUGAUUUUUUUUGUUAUACCACUCUCUGAUCCA